rnacentral:rRNA from 1 species
CAGCUUGCUGCGGGUACUCGAGUGGCGAACGGGUGAGUAACACGUGGGUGAUCUGCCUUGCACUUCGGGAUAAGCUUGGGAAACUGGGUCUAAUACCGGAUAGGACAGCUGUUUAGUGUCAGUUGUGGAAAGUUUUUUCGGUGCAAGAUGAGCUCGCGGCCUAUCAGCUUGUUGGUGGGGUAAUGGCCUACCAAGGCGUCGACGGGUAGCCGGCCUGAGAGGGUGUACGGCCACAUUGGGACUGAGAUACGGCCCAGACUCCUACGGGAGGCAGCAGUGGGGAAUAUUGCACAAUGGGCGGAAGCCUGAUGCAGCGACGCCGCGUGGGGGAUGAAGGCCUUCGGGUUGUAAACUCCUUUCGACAGGGACGAAGCGUAAGUGACGGUACCUGUAUAAGAAGCACCGGCUAACUACGUGCCAGCAGCCGCGGUAAUACGUAGGGUGCGAGCGUUGUCCGGAAUUACUGGGCGUAAAGAGCUCGUAGGUGGUUUGUCGCGUCGUCUGUGGAAUUCCGGGGCUUAACUCCGGGCGUGCAGGCGAUACGGGCUGACUUGAGUGCUGUAGGGGAGACUGGAAUUCCUGGUGUAGCGGUGAAAUGCGCAGAUAUCAGGAGGAACACCGAUGGCGAAGGCAGGUCUCUGGGCAGUAACUGACGCUGAGGAGCGAAAGCAUGGGUAGCGAACAGGAUUAGAUACCCUGGUAGUCCAUGCCGUAAACGGUGGGCGCUAGGUGUAGGGGGCUUCCACGUCUUCUGUGCCGUAGCUAACGCAUUAAGCGCCCCGCCUGGGGAGUACGCCGCAAG